rnacentral:rRNA from 1 species
UACAGAGGUCCCAAGCGUUGUUCGGAUUCACUGGGCGUAAAGGGUGCGUAGGUGGUAAGGCAAGUCAGGUGUGAAAUCUCCGGGCUCAACCCGGAAAUGGCAUUCGAAACUACCUUGCUAGAGGGUUUGAGGGGGGGGGACUGAAUACUUGGUGUAGCAGUGAAAUGCGUAGAUAUCAAGUGGAACACCAGUGGCGAAGGCGAGUCCCUGGAAAACUCCUGACACUGAGGCACGAAAGCUAGGGGAGCAAACAGG